rnacentral:rRNA from 1 species
AGAGUUUGAUCAUGGCUCAGGACGAACGCUGGCGGCGUGCCUAAUACAUGCAAGUCGAGCGAGCGGAACUAACAGAUUUACUUCGGUAAUGACGUUAGGAAAGCGAGCGGCGGAUGGGUGAGUAACACGUGGGGAACCUGCCCCAUAGUCUGGGAUACCACUUGGAAACAGGUGCUAAUACCGGAUAAGAAAGCAGAUCGCAUGAUCAGCUUUUAAAAGGCGGCGUAAGCUGUCGCUAUGGGAUGGCCCCGCGGUGCAUUAGCUAGUUGGUAAGGUAAAGGCUUACCAAGGCGAUGAUGCAUAGCCGAGUUGAGAGACUGAUCGGCCACAUUGGGACUGAGACACGGCCCAAACUCCUACGGGAGGCAGCAGUAGGGAAUCUUCCACAAUGGACGCAAGUCUGAUGGAGCAACGCCGCGUGAGUGAAGAAGGUUUUCGGAUCGUAAAGCUCUGUUGUUGGUGAAGAAGGAUAGAGGUAGUAACUGGUCUUUAUUUGACGGUAAUCAACCAGAAAGUCACGGCUAACUACGUGCCAGCAGCCGCGGUAAUACGUAGGUGGCAAGCGUUGUCCGGAUUUAUUGGGCGUAAAGCGAGCGCAGGCGGAAGAAUAAGUCUGAUGUGAAAGCCCUCGGCUUAACCGAGGAACUGCAUCGGAAACUGUUUUUCUUGAGUGCAGAAGAGGAGAGUGGAACUCCAUGUGUAGCGGUGGAAUGCGUAGAUAUAUGGAAGAACACCAGUGGCGAAGGCGGCUCUCUGGUCUGCAACUGACGCUGAGGCUCGAAAGCAUGGGUAGCGAACAGGAUUAGAUACCCUGGUAGUCC